CUGAUGUUUGGGGAAUUGGGAGCUAUAAUCACUGCUUCACCAGGGAUUUGGGAGAACUACAGCGGAUAUACUCAGCUGGAGUAUUGGAGAUCCAUUACAAUACUAUUACUCAUUAUGGUUGGCACCACUUUUAGCCUACCUCUAACUGCCAUGGAAAACCUUCCAGAUCACUGCCUGGUCCACAGUAGGAGAAAGGAGGCAAAGAGAACGUACCUUCAG